AUUGAACGCUGGCGGCAUGCCUUACACAUGCAAGUCGAACGGUAGCGGGCCUUCGGGUGCCGACGAGUGGCGAACGGGUGAGUAAUGUAUCGGAACGUACCUUUCAGUGGGGGAUAACGUAGCGAAAGUUGCGCUAAUACAGCAUAUUCUGUGAGCAGGAAAGCAGGGGAUCGCAAGACCUUGCGCUGAUUGAGCGGCCGAUAUCAGAUUAGCUAGUUGGUGAGGUAAAGCCUCACCAAGGCGACGAUCUGUAGCGGGUCUGAGAGGAUGACCACCCACACUGGAACGUGGACACGGUCAAAACCCCAAGGGGAGGCAGCAGUGGGGAUUUUGGACAAUGGGGGCAACCCUGAUCCAGCCAUGCCGCGUGAGUGAAGAAGGCCUUCGGGUUGUAAAGCUCUUUCGGCCGGGAAGAAAUCGUAUCAGCUAAUACCUGGUGCGGAUGACGGUACCGGCAUAAGAAGCACCGGCUAACUACGUGCCAGCCGCCGCGGUAA
rnacentral:rRNA from 1 species